UUUAUCAUAUGGGAGGGAUUCUGGUUCUUCUUUUCCUCUUUUAUCAUUCUUUUCUUUCUCAUUUUUCUCUCAAGAGUUUAAGUUACAAAAUUGAAAUCACUCCACUACUGAGAAGAGUUCAGCGAGUUACUUUUGUUGGGUGAUUUUAUCUUGUCAUGCUAUUCUUUAAUUUAGGAAUUUCAUUUAGGGAUUUUGAUAUUUUUGCAUGUGUGAAUUGCGGCCGACUACUAGUGCCUCAGAUUGAAUAGAACUCUCCCCAAGUUCCAUUUAACAUAUAGGAUUUAAUUACAAGGGUUAGUACUGGUUUCGAUCUUGGUUGUCUGGUGUACUUGAGGUCGAGUUAUGCUAAAAUUUCUUGUCGUGAAGAUUAGUUAAAGAACCUGAAGUGCAGCCAUUAAUCAUGGGUAUUUCAGGGGAUAAAUGUGAAGAACUCUAACUCAAUAAUGUGUGGGAAUUUGUCUUGGGUUGCUGGUGAUUUCUAGUAUCGACGGGAUAUGAGAAGUUAUAAGAGGGCUCACAGUACAGCAUAAAGGAUAUCUCACUACCACCAGCUUCAUGCCUGCAAAGUGUUCGAUAAAGAGCCUGAAAGAAGAGGACUCUCAUUUCUCUUUGAUACUAGCUAGUAAAAUGAGGUUUUGCUAACGGCGCCACGUAAUUCAUUUAUAGCUGGAAUUGGGGUUAGCGGUAAAGGUAUGGUUGAUCUUAUUUCGAAUGAAAUGUGUAUCCUGAUUAACUCUUAUAUUUUGUAAGUCUCCACAAACAGGUAUAUUUAUACUAAUAUGUCCAAUAAUGAUGCAUGUGGCCAUAUAAUCUAUAAAGGUUGUGCAAGUUUUCAAUGGGUUACAUGGAAAUGCAACUGUUGGGUUAUUAAUUUUGUGGAUUUUAUUAGUAGUAUAAUUAAUUGAUUUAGUGGAUCAUACAUUUAUUACAUGUCGGUCUAAGGAUUUCUGAUGAUCAAUUAAUAAUUAUCGUCAUUUAUCAUUUGUAUGUAUCUACCAUGGUUAGUGUGAUCUUAAAUGCGAAUUGGAUUCUCUGGUAAAUGAUUGUGAAACGGGGCAUGCAUUAUAGUUUUCAUUUGGCCGUGCGACAGAUUUGUUGAUACUCUCACAUCAAGCCUCAUGUUUACUUUGAAUAGCCUUUGCUAGAUACUUCAAAAGUAGUCUAUGCUUGUCUGUGCUUAUCCAGUCUUGGAGUAUCACUUGUCGGGUGCCUAGUUACUCAUGGAUAAGAUUUCAUUUUAACUUAAUUAUUAUUUUGAAGGCAAGGCCUUGAGCCAGUACAAGGCCACAAGUUGUAUUGUUAGGGAAUGCUGGAAUUUCUUAUCUAAUUUGUAGUUGGUGAUUUUGGUAGAGACUAGUGAGCCAGUGCAAUGUAUAGGCACAUAGGUCUCUUUAUCAAAUAAUAUCCAUGAGUAGAUGUUCAUUUGGACCAACCAGUCCAUGGUACUGAUUCAAUUUGUAAAAUGGUUGGGGUAAUGUCUAUAGGCAUCGUUUUAGACUUAAGUGUAGAUCCUAUCACAUGAUUGUGUUUUAGUUUAUAAUCCAUGAAAUGAAAUACAAAUACGGCAGAUUAGCAUGUUACUAACAUAUUUUAUCUUUGAUUUUUGUGCUAUGAACUGAGCUUAAGAUACUCCUUGCAAUUCUACGCACAAUGAAGUUAGACCCUUAAAUCAUUUUUGGGUGUAUAUUUGUCUCUUGUUUUGUUCCUUGUUUGUUAACUGAAGUAUUUUCAGAGAAAUGCUAUUUUUCACAUUUUCUUGAAUUAGUUCGAUAUAUAGCUAGCUUUGUGUUUCAUAUAAAUUCCUUUGGCAUGAGAAGUGUUGGCUAUAUAUAUGUGGUCUAAAUUACUUGAAUGUAAACAGUCACCACUCUUUAUGACUCACAUUUUCUAUAUAGUGUUUGUUGGCUACUUGUUGCUUAUGGGUGAGAUUCUAAGUGAAUUUAAUUUUCUUUUGAAGGCACGUUUGCAUGGGAUUUUAAUUUAAUCUACAUUUUGAUUUAUAGUGUAUCUUAAGCCCUCUCUAGUGAUGAGCUUAAUUUAAUGCCUAAAUUCAUCUUGCACACUUACCCCAGAAUUAUGACGUUUUUGGAGAAGUUAAGAUAUUAGGAUGGGUAGUGAAUUGUGUACUUGCUAUUGUCUGAUUUGCUCACUUUGCAAUCUAGUAUAUUCUUGGAGAAGUUAAGAUAUUAGGAUGGGUAGUGAAUUGUGAGGGUUGAAUUUUGAUUUCAUGAAACACACAAAAUGUAAUCUGACAAGCAUCCUUGUAUUACGGCUUGUAAAUGUUUUCGUGCACUUGGGCUCCAUACUUAGACUUAUUAUGCUAGCAGGUUUGUUUAAAUACAAUCUAAUAAUUUCGUCAUUUCUUACUGUAAGACAUUGCUCAUUAAACAUUUAAGAUUCUUUGUUUAAGAGUCACUGGAAUCUAAAGAACUAAGAAUCGUACUAGACUUCUUAGUGGAGCCCACUUCUUUGAUUUUUCAUCGUGUACACUUCUUUUCAGUACUGUAUAGUCAGAAGAAUGGUUAGAGGUUAGGCAACUUUGUUUCUAUUUGGAGGUAUGUAUGGUUUAAUAGCUUGUUAAAUUUUAUAUUUGACAUAACCGUAUGCAUCUCUUGUGCAUUGGUUGUGUACUUAAGUGUGACGGCUAUCUUUGGUAGCCUAAGAGUAGUUGUCUACUCGUAAUUCAUAACAUGAACUGCAAGUGGAAUAAGUUUACUUGACCCUUAAUCAAAUUGGUCCGAAAUUUUGAAAUCCCAGUUUCUUGAGUGGCGUAUCAGAGAAUCGGAGCUGGCCAAGCGGGUCGUAACCCGACCCGUUGGAAGCGAAAAUUCUCUGGUCUGCUACAAUUCGUAUCAGAGCAGUUCCGAUUCAAGCGGGACUGUGCGUUCUGGAUCUCAUCAUUAUUCUGCUCGUGCGGUAACUACAGGGGAUAAAUGUGAAGAACUCUAACUCAAUAAUGAGUGGGAAUUUGUCUUGGGUUGCUGGUGAUUUCUAGUGUCGACAGGAUAUGAGAAGUUAUAAGAGGGCUCAGAGUACAGCAUAAAGGAUAUCUCACUACCACCAGCUUCAUGCCUGCAAAGUGUUCGAUAAAGAGCCUGAAAGAAGAGGACUCUCAUUUCUCUUUGAUACUAGCUAGUAAAAUGAGGUUUUGCUAACGGCGCCACGCAAUUCAUUUAUAGCUGGAAUUGGGGUUAGCGGUAAAGGUAUGGUUGAUCUUAUUUCGAAUAAAAUGCGUAUCCUGAUUAACUCUUAUAUUUUGUAAGUCUCCACAAACAGGUAUAUUUAUACUAAUAUGUCCAAUAAUGAUGCAUGUGGCCUUAUAAUCUAUAAAGGUUGUGCAAGUUUUCGAUGGGUUACAUGGAAAUGCAAUUGUUGGGUUAUUAAUCUUGUGGAUUUUAUUAGUAGUAUAAUUAAUUGAUUUAGUGGAUCAUACUUUUAUUACAUGUCGGUCUAAGGAUUUCUGAUGAUCUAUUAAUAAUUAUCUUCAUUUAUCAUUUGUAUGUAUCUACCAUGGUUAGUGUGAUCUUGAAUGCGAAUUGGAUUCUCUGGUAAAUGAUUGUGAAACGGGGCAUGCAUUAUAGUUUCAUUUGGCCGUGCGACAGAUUUGUUGAUACUCUCACAUCAAGCCUCAUGUUUACUUUGAAUAGCCUUUGCUAGAUACUUCAAAAGUAGUCUAUGCUUGUCUGUGCUUAUCCAGUCUUGGAGUAUCACUUGUCGGGUGCCUAGUUACUUAUGGAUAAGAUUUCAUUUUAACUUAAUUAUUGUUUUGAAGGCAAGGCCUUGAGCCAGUACAAGGCUACAAGUUGUAUUGUUAGGGAAUGCUGGAAUUUCUUAUCUAAUUUGUAGUUGGUGAUUUUGGUAGAGACUGGUGAGCUAGUGCAAUGUAUAGGCACAUAGGUCGCAUUAUCAAAUAAUAUCCAUGAGUAGAUGUUCAUUUGGACCAACCAGUCCAUGGUACUGAUUCAAUUUGUAAAAUGGUUGGGUUAAUGUCUAUAGGCAUCGUUUUAGACUUAA